UAAUUCUUCAAUUGCAAGCUUGAUUCAGUGCUCGUUGGGCAUUUCAAAGUGUUGGAAGUUGAAGCAUUUGGUCAAAAAACGCGUGGUUUGACGCGUCUCGUUGAGUGGUAAACCUCGUUGAGCAAAAUCGUAGCAGGUUCACCCUUCCACUUCAACGCACAAUUAUGCCACCAAUUCGCAAUAGAAAGGCUUCAAACUCUAUAGAGGGGGAGAGAGAGAGAGAGAGAGAGAGAGAGAAGACUUGAGCUCGUGAUAAAAUCUCUUCAAUUCAUGAGACUGCAUGACUGCAUGACUGCAAUGUUCCACAUACUACUCUAUAUCAUCAACUAAAGGGACAGCCUUCAAGGGUGAAUUUACACUCAAACUCCACUAAAUUAA
rnacentral:sRNA from 1 species